UGUAGAAUAAGCUAAAAUAAAGCUAGUGGGUUCAUACCCCAAAUAUGAAAUUGUUUCUUCUACAA
rnacentral:tRNA from 1 species